rnacentral:lncRNA from 1 species
GAAAUCUAAGGUCUAAAUAAAUAGAUAAUGGGAAACAGGAAGAUGUUUUGCAAAUUGGAAGGAGACCAAGAGAUGGAGGGAGGUGGGCAUGGAAGGGAAAUAAAGAGAAUGAGAAUGUGUUUUGCACAAGCACCCACCCCCCACAAUGAGUGUAAUUGUUAUAUACUUUGAAUGUGCACAAAUAACAAUGAAACUUAAAAAAAGUACAGUGUUCAGUGUUCUUAUCCCCUUUGCAUAUGUGAGGUUACUGCCUCUCUGUGGUUGGGUAUAGGACCAGUGUUCUUUCUGAAGGCAGGGGCUGGGAGGCGGGGAGCACCGAGGAGCAGACCACAAAGAUGCACUUCCUUGAAGGAGGUGCAAAUGCAGGCCCCAGUACUUCACUCCGGUCUGCUGGGUACUGCACACAUUUGAAGACAAGGACUUGGAGGAACAGACACGUCCUGUAACUCGUCCAUGCUCACGCGUCUUGUGUGUGACAGAGUUGGGGUUGGGGUGCUGUUUGUCUGACCCCUGCGUUCACAAGCUGAACUGCACCCCACUGUCCCUUACCAGUCACUUGCCCCUUUUAUAUUCCAGUCCACUCCACAUCUUUCCUAGCCAUUUCCACCGAUCGCAUCUCCACGCUGUCUUACCUGCACUGCUGGGAUUCUGUCACUGAUCUUUAUGCACCCAGCAUCUCUUCUGUCACAUCUCUUCUGUGAUCCUUAUACUCCUAGAGCUGUUCCUGUGUAACUUGGAUGCUUGAGAGAGCUGAUUUCAAUCCUUUUUAGCCCUCCUGAACCACUUGACCAAGUUUAACACUCUUUGCUCCAGGAAUUCAAAGAUGGAAAAGAGACCGAUGUAUUGGAUUCAGCAAACUAUAAGUGGGAAGACAAAUUUGUAUGAAUCACCAUUUUCCACUAACACUCCCCUCCAGGCAGCUGCGGCUCCAGGGGCUUCUUAUUUUUUAAACAAACAAGAAACUGUCGAUCCCAGACCCUUCAACAUGGACAUCAGUCUCUCAGAACACAAAUUGCUCACUGGCACCAUCUAUAACUCCAACUUCAGGAUGGGCUCCUGGUAAAAAAUGCCAUGAAACUUAGAGC